GAGGGAAUAUUGGUUAAUGUGCGAAAGCGCGAACCAGCAACGCCGCGUGUACGAAGAAGGCCUUCGGGUUGUAAAGUACUUUUCACCGGGAAGAGGAAGGACGGUACCGGUGGAAUAAGUCUCGGCUAACUACGUGCCAGCAGCCGCGGUAUCACGUAGGAGACGAGCGUUAUCCGGAUUUACUGGGUGUAAAGCGCGUGCAGGCGGUCUGUUCAGUUGGAUGUGAAAGCUCCCGGCUAAACUGGGAGAGGUCGUUCAAGACUGGCAGGCUAGAGUGUGGUAGAGGGGAGUGGAAUUCCGAGUGUAGCGGUAAAAUGCAUAGAUAUUCGGAAGAACACCAGUGGCGAAGGCGACUUCCUGGACCACAACUGACGCUCAGACGCGAAAGCCAGGGUAGCAAACGG
rnacentral:rRNA from 1 species